GAGCCAGACUCCUACGGGAGGCAGCAGUGGGGAAUAUUGCACAAUGGGGGAAACCCUGAUGCAGCAACGCCGCGUGAGCGAGGAAGUAUUUCGGUAUGUAAAGCUCUAUCAGCAGGGAAUAGAAAAGAAGGUACCUGACCAAGAAGCUCCAGCUAAAUACGUGCCAGCAGCCGCGGUAAUACGUAUGGAGCAAGCGUUAUCCGGAUUUACUGGGUGUAAAGGGAGCGCAGGCGGCCUUGCAAGUCUGAUGUGAAAGGCCGGGGCCCAACCCCGGGACUGCAUUGGAAACUGCGAGGCUGGAGUGUCGGAGAGGCAGGCGGAAUUCCUAGUGUAGCGGUGAAAUGCGUAGAUAUUAGGAGGAACACCAGUGGCGAAGGCGGCCUACUGGACGGUGACUGACGCUGAGGCUCGAAAGCGUGGGGAGCAAACAGGAUUAGAUACCCCCGUA
rnacentral:rRNA from 1 species